AUGUGUCAGUCUAUUUCAAAAAGAAGAGGUGCUGUUGGUUCAGUAAGCAAACACCCAAGAGGUCCCUGUCUAUUUGAGAAAAAGGAAAGUGCAACAAAAAUGUCAAACAUCGCGUGCGUGGACUGGAUUAAUCUUCUGGCGUGCAUCCUGGCAUUUACCUCAAAUUUUGACCAGGAUGUAUCAUGUAUGACUUUGUUAAACAGCAAUGUCCAGAAACAGAUCAUGAACGGCGUUAACAGAGUUUCGGAGCACAAAUUCAUUGCUGUUCAUCUGCUUUUUUAUUGUUUUUAUUAUUUUUUCCCAAGGAAGAAGGAUUAG
rnacentral:rRNA from 1 species